GAUGAACGCUGGCGGCGUGCCUAAUACAUGCAAGUCGAGCGAACAGACGAGGAGCUUGCUCCUCUGACGUUAGCGGCGGACGGGUGAGUAACACGUGGAUAACCUACCUAUAAGACUGGGAUAACUUCGGGAAACCGGAGCUAAUACCGGAUAAUAUAUUGAACCGCAUGGUUCAAUAGUGAAAGACGGUUUUGCUGUCACUUAUAGAUGGAUCCGCGCCGCAUUAGCUAGUUGGUAAGGUAACGGCUUACCAAGGCAACGAUGCGUAGCCGACCUGAGAGGGUGAUCGGCCACACUAGAACUGAGACACGGUCCAGACUCCUACGGGAGGCAGCAGUAGGGAAUCUUCCGCAAUGGGCGAAAGCCUGACGGAGCAACGCCGCGUGAGUGAUGAAGGUCUUCGGAUCGUAAAACUCUGUUAUUAGGGAAGAACAAAUGUGCAAGUAACUAUGCACGUCUUGACGGUACCUAAUCAGAAAGCCACGGCUAACUACGUG
rnacentral:rRNA from 1 species